AGUCGAACGCCCGUCUUCGGACGGGAGUGGCAGACGGGUGAGUAACACGUGGGAACGUACCCUUUGGUUCGGAAUAACGCAGGGAAACUUGCGCUAAUACCGGAUACGCCCUUUUGGGGAAAGGUUUACUGCCGAAGGAUCGGCCCGCGUCUGAUUAGCUAGUUGGUGGGGUAACGGCCUACCAAGGCGACGAUCAGUAGCUGGUCUGAGAGGAUGAUCAGCCACACUGGGACUGAGACACGGCCCAGACUCCUACGGGAGGCAGCAGUGGGGAAUAUUGGACAAUGGGCGCAAGCCUGAUCCAGCCAUGCCGCGUGAGUGAUGAAGGCCUUAGGGUUGUAAAGCUCUUUUGUCCGGGACGAUAAUGACGGUACCGGAAGAAUAAGCCCCGGCUAACUUCGUGCCAGCAGCCGCGGUAAUACGAA
rnacentral:rRNA from 1 species